rnacentral:rRNA from 1 species
CAGUAGCCGCGGGAAUACGGAGGGGGCUAGCGUUGUUCGGAAUUACUGGGCGUAAAGCGCACGUAGGCGGCUUGGUAAGUUAGAGGUGAAAGCCUGGAGCUCAACUCCAGAAUUGCCUUUAAGACUGCCGAGCUAGCAGGUGAGAGAGGUAAGUGGAAUUCCGAGUGUAGAGGUGAAAUUCGUAGAUAUUCGGAAGAACACCAGUGGCGAAGGCGGCUUACUGGCUCAUACUGGACGCUGAGGUGCGAAAGCGUGGGGAGCAAACAGGAUUAGAGACCCCAGUAGUCCCUGUCUCUUAUAC